rnacentral:rRNA from 1 species
UACGUAGGUGACAAGCGUUGUCCGGAUUUACUGGGCGUAAAGAGCGCGCAGGCGGUCGAUCAAGUCGAGUGUGAAAGCCCCCGGCUCAACUGGGGAGGGUCAUUCGAUACUGAUCGACUCGAAGGCAGGAGAGGGUAGUGGAAUUCCCGGUGUAGUGGUGAAAUGCGUGAGAUAUCGGGAGGAACACCAGUGGCGAAGGCGACUACCUGGCCUGUUCUUGACGCUGAGGCGCGAAAGCUAGGGGAGCAAACGGG